GGACAUUUAUUCAUAAAAGCACACUUUUAUAAACAACGAGAUUCAGGCACAAAACGAGUUUAGUCGAAAGCUUACAAAAAGGUCGACUCUCACAAAAGGUUGUCCUACGACAUACUGAUAAGACAUAUCCACCGAUCCUCCAUACUCCUCCUCCUCAGACUUCGAGACCUUGGUCUUCCACGACCACCUUCUAAGGACCUGAAAAUGGUUAUUCAAUAACUAGUGAGACAAUGUCUCAACAAGUCCACCCACUAAACCCCGAUUAGGAGGGAAAUACGCUUCAGGGUGCUCUAGUCACACAACCACACAAUUAGAAUAAGGAACUUACCUCACCUCAGUUCCUUCCUGCAAGUCAGUACAGUCCAUAUCGCAAUGCAUAUAAUUAAUGUACAUAACAACUAGAACACCUCAUCAAUUCAAUUAAUCACCAAGAACCCGUUCCAUGCCACACAGUUUUGGUCUCAUAAUCAGGUGCAUCAAACUCAAUCAUCAUGCGUUCAAAUUGUUAAUUACACCCCUUAAGGGUACGGCUAACUCCAAAAUUGGCGGUCUUCUAGCAUUGCCAAGCGUCGUCUCACCUCCUUUGAGCACGGCAACGUCUCUCAAUUAGACGGCUUCCCUGAAGGGGCGUAGGUCCAGAAUCUACUGCGACCUGAGUCCUAAUGAAUGGGCAACGUCCGGCUUAACAACCCAUGACAGUUUUUCUUAACCAACACAUGACCAAUUAAUCUCAGCCCAAGAUACUGUGCAUUGCACUCAAAUGUCUCAAUUAAAAUAGUGAACCUGGCCUAUUUUCUUCGUAUUAGAAAUAUAUGGUAAAAUAGUCGUGUGUGGAUACACGGUCAAUUCACACUAGAAAAAUUGAUAUUUUCCAAUUUAAAAUCACACUGGUUUAUAUAGUGUAUAAAACUAUUUUUGGUGUUAAAACCCAACACCCGGGAUUUUCUGAAUAAAUAUCGAAAUUCAUAAUUUUUGGAAUUGAAUACUCAAAUUUCCAAUCGGCACUCAAUUUGCACAAUAACAUCCAAUUGCAAAAAUUGAACACACCAUUGCAAUCAACACGUAAUUCCGGUCACCGACUAUCUCAGACUAAUUUCCGGAAAAUAUUUAAUAAUUAAUUAAUUUCUAAAAUUAAUUAAAUCAAUCAAUUUAAAUACUAAAAUGCCAACCUAGAGCCAACAUCACUAAAUUAAAUACCAAUACAAACCCGGAAAAUUCCCGAACCCUUCUAGAUAAAUAACACAAUUUAUCUAGGCCUCACUUAAUCUAAUCUAACCACCUAACAUGCAUAAUUGCAUAAUUAAAUCACUAAAUUAAUCUAACUAACCACCUAAUUCCUAAUUAAAUAAAUCUAAACACCCCUUAGACGUCAUUAGCCCACUAAGAAGAGUUUAGUAAAUAAACUCACAAGUUAAUUGCGGAAACCGGUUCACCGUGACGACGGCCGAAAUCUGAAUUUUCGGCGGCGUCAACGAACACUUGGGCCGGGCCUAAAACAGGCCCAACAAAUCUCAGUCCAAUCUGAGAUUUGCUUUUGAAUUGGACCGGGCCUGAAGCGGGCUGACUUCGCGAGCUUGGGCCUUAAAAUUGCGAGCUUCUGAUCUUGUUGGGCUUCGCUGGACUGGGCCAAAAUCCAAUGGGCUGAAGACACUUGCUGGACUUGAAGACUUUAACUGGGCUGAGAACAGGUUGGAUGGGCUGCGGGCUUUGUUGCGGCUGAUCCAUGAGCUGAAAAAGAC
rnacentral:lncRNA from 1 species